CAUUGAAAUAUCGGUUCCCGUAUGAUCAUCGAAGUUAAGUAACGUCGAGCCUGGUCAGUACCUAGAUGGGUGACCGUUUGAGAAUACCAGGUGCUGGAA
rnacentral:rRNA from 1 species